rnacentral:rRNA from 1 species
GAUGAACGCUGGCGGCGUGCCUAAUACAUGCAAGUCGAGCGAACAGACGAGGAGCUUGCUCCUCUGACGUUAGCGGCGGACGGGUGAGUAACACGUGGAUAACCUACCUAUAAGACUGGGAUAACUUCGGGAAACCGGAGCUAAUACCGGAUAAUAUAUUGAACCGCAUGGUUCAAUAGUGAAAGACGGUUUUGUUGUCACUUAUAGAUGGAUCCGCGCCGCAUUAGCUAGUUGGUAAGGUAACGGCUUACCAAGGCAACGAUGCGUAGCCGACCUGAGAGGGUGAUCGGCCACACUGGAACUGAGACACGGUCCAGACUCCUACGGGAGGCAGCAGUAGGGAAUCCUCCGCAAUGGGCGAAAGCUUGACGGAGCAACGCCGCGUGAGUGAUGAAGGUCUUCGGAUCGUAAAACUCUGUUAUUAGGGAAGAACAAAUGUGUAAGUAACUAUGCACGUCUUGACGGUACCUAAUCAGAAAGCCACGGCUAACUACGUG